rnacentral:rRNA from 1 species
CCAGACUCCUACGGGAGGCAGCAGUGAGGAAUAUUGGUCAAUGGCCGAGAGGCUGAACCAGCCAAGUCGCGUGAGGGAUGACGGCCCUACGGGUUGUAAACCUCUUUUGCCGGGGAGCAAAGAGCGGGACGCGUCCCGCCUCGAGAGUACCCGGAGAAAAAGCAUCGGCUAACUCCGUGCCAGCAGCCGCGGUAAUACGUAGGGAGCAAGCGUUGUUCGGAAUGACUGGGCGUAAAGGGUGCGUAGGCGGUUAUACAAGUUAGAAGUGAAAUAACCAGGGCUUAACUCGGGUGCUGCUUCUAAAACUGUAAGACUUGAGUGCAGUAGAGGUUAGUGGAAUUCCUAGUGUAGCGGUGGAAUGCGUAGAUAUUAGGAGGAACACCAGAGGCGAAGGCGGCUAACUGGACGGCAACUGACGCUGAGGCACGAAAGUGUGGGGAGCAAACAGGAUUAGAUACCCUAGUACCC